rnacentral:rRNA from 1 species
CAGCAGCCGCGGUAAUACGAAGGGGGCUAGCGUUGUUCGGAAUUACUGGGCGUAAAGGGCGCGCAGGCGGCCAUUCAAGUUAGAUGUGAAAGCCCUGGGCUCAACCUAGGAAUUGCAUUUGAUACUGUUUGGCUUGAGUUCGGGAGAGGUGAGUGGAAUUCCCAGCGUAGAGGUGAAAUUCGUAGAUACUGGGAAGAACACCAGUGGCGAAGGCGGCUCACUGGCUCAUACUGGACGCUGAGGUGCGAAAGCGUGGGGAGCAAACAGGAUUAGAUACCCGAGUAGUCCCUGUCUCUUAUAC